UGAGGAAUUUUGCGCAAUGGCCGCAAGGCUGACGCAGCAACGCCGCGUGGGUGAUGAAGGCCUUCGGGUCGUAAAGCCCUGUCAGGUGGGAAGAAAGGUUUCAAGGAGAAACACUUGGGAUUUGACGGUACCACCAGAGGAAGCACCGGCUAACUCCGUGCCAGCAGCCGCGGUAAUACGGAGGGUGCGAGCGUUAUUCGGAAUUACUGGGCGUAAAGC
rnacentral:rRNA from 1 species